rnacentral:rRNA from 1 species
UACGUAGGGUGCAAGCGUUUGUCCGGAAUUAUUGGGCGUAAAGAGCUCGUAGGCGGUCUGUCGCGUCUGCGUGUGAAAACUCGGGGCUUACCCCGGGCCUGCAGUGGGUACGGGCAGACUAGAGUGCGGUAGGGGAGACUGGAAUUCCUGGUGUAGCGGUGAAAUGCGCAGAUAUCAGGAAGAACACCCGUGGCGAAGGCGGCUCUCUGGGACGGUACUGACGCUGAGACGCGAAAGCGUGGGGAGCGAACAGG